rnacentral:rRNA from 1 species
GACGAACGCUGGCGGCGUGCUUAACACAUGCAAGUCGAACGGAAAGGCCCUGCUUUUGUGGGGUGCUCGAGUGGCGAACGGGUGAGUAACACGUGAGUAACCUGCCCUUGACUUUGGGAUAACUUCAGGAAACUGGGGCUAAUACCGGAUAGGAGCUCCUGCUGCAUGGUGGGGGUUGGAAAGUUUCGGCGGUUGGGGAUGGACUCGCGGCUUAUCAGCUUGUUGGUGGGGUAGUGGCUUACCAAGGCUUUGACGGGUAGCCGGCCUGAGAGGGUGACCGGCCACAUGGGGACUGAGAGACGGCCCAGACUCCUACGGGAGGCAGCAGUGGGGAAUAUUGCACAAUGGGCGGAAGCCUGAUGCAGCAACGCCGCGUGCGGGAUGACGGCCUUCUGGUUGUAAACCGCUUUCGCCUGUGACGAAGCGUGAGUGACGGUAAUGGGUAAAGAAGCACCGGCUAACUACGUG